GACAAAGGAUGCAAGCGUUAUCCGGAAUUACUGGGCGUAAAGCGUGCGCAGGCGGUGAUGUAAGACAGAUGUGAAAUCCCCGGGCUCAACUUGGGAACUGCAUUUGUGACUGCAUCGCUGGAGUGCGGCAGAGGGGGAUGGAAUUCCGCGUGUAGCAGUGAAAUGCGUAGAUAUGCGGAGGAACACCGAUGGCGAAGGCAAUCCCCUGGGCCUGCACUGACGCUCAUGCACGAAAGCGUGGGGAGCAAACAGG
rnacentral:rRNA from 1 species